GGACGGGUGAGUAAUGCCUGGGAAAUUGCCCUGAUGUGGGGGAUAACCAUUGGAAACGAUGGCUAAUACCGCAUAAUAGCUUCGGCUCAAAGAGGGGGACCUUCGGGCCUCUCGCGUCAGGAUAUGCCCAGGUGGGAUUAGCUAGUUGGUGAGGUAAUGGCUCACCAAGGCGACGAUCCCUAGCUGGUCUGAGAGGAUGAUCAGCCACACUGGAACUGAGACACGGUCCAGACUCCUACGGGAGGCAGCAGUGGGGAAUAUUGCACAAUGGGCGCAAGCCUGAUGCAGCCAUGCCGCGUGUAUGAAGAAGGCCUUCGGGUUGUAAAGUACUUUCAGCAGUGAGGAAGGUGGUAGUGUUAAUAGCACUAUCAUUUGACGUUAGCUGCAGAAGAAGCACCGGCUAACUCCGUGCCAGCAGCCGCGGUAAUACGGAGGGUGCGAGCGUUAAUCGGAAUUACUGGGCGUAAAGCGCAUGCAGGUGGUUUGUUAAGUCAGAUGUGAAAGCCCGGGGCUCA
rnacentral:rRNA from 1 species